ensembl:lncRNA
AUGGUUCUCUGUGGGUCGCUGUGGGUCGCUAUGGGGCACAGUGGGUCUCUAUGGUUCUCUAUGGGUCCCUAUUGGGUCUCUGUGGGUCUCUAUGGGUCUCUAUGGGAUCUCUAUGGGUCUCCAUGGGUCUCAGUGGGUCACUAUGGGUCUCUAUGGGUCCCUAUGGGUCUCUUUGGGAUCUCUGUGGGUCUCUAUGGGUCUCUAUGGGUCUCUAUGGGUCGCUAUGGGUCUCUAUGUGUCUCUAUGGUUCCCUAUGGGUCUCUAUGGGUCGCUAUGGGUCUCUAUGGGUUUGUAUGGGUCCCAAUGGGUCUCUACAGGUCUCUAUGGGUCUCAGUGGGUCUCUAUGGGUCGCUGUGGGUCGCUAUGGGUCUCUAUGGGGUCUCUGUGGUUCUCUAUGGGGCACUGUGGGAUUCUAUGGUUCUCUAUGGGUCUCUAUGGGUCUCUGUGGGUCCCUAUGGGUCCUUAUGGUUCCCUAUGGGUCUCUAUGGGUCUCUAUGGUGCACUAUGGGAUCUCUAUGGGUCGCUGUGGGUUGCCGUGGGUCUCUGUGGGGCCCUCUGAGUCUCUGUGGGUCACUAUGGGUCACAAUGGGUCUCUAUGAGGACCUAUGGGUCUCUAUGGGUCCCUAUGGGUCUCUAUGUGGUCUCUGUGGUUCUCUAUGGGGCACUAUGGGAUUCUAUGGGUCUCUAUGUGUCUCUAUGGGUUGCUGUGGGUCACUAUGGGGCACAGUGCGUCUCUGUGGGUCUCUGUGGGGUUUCUAUGAGUCUCUAUGGGUCUCUAUGGGUCGCUGUGGUUCUCUAUGGGGCACUAUGGGUCUCUAUGGGUUCUCCAUGGGUCCCUAUGGGUCUCUAUGGUUCCCUAUGGGUCGCUAUGGGUCUCUAUGGGUCUCUAUGGGAUCUCUAUGGGUCUCCAUGGGUCUCAGUGGGUCACUAUGGGUCGCUGUGGGUCUCUAUGGGUCCCUAUGGGUCUCUGUGGGUCUCCAUGGGUCUCUGUGGGUCACUAUGGGUCCCUAUGGGUCUCUUUGGGAUCUCUGUGGGUCUCUAUGGGUCUCUAUGGGUCUCUAUGGGUCGCUAUGGGUCUCUAUGGGUCGCUGUGGGUCUCAGUGGGUCUCAGUGGGUCGCUGUGGGUCUCUAUGGGUCACUGUGGGUCUCUAUAGUUCCCUAUGGGUCGCUAUGGGUCUCUGUGGUUCUCUAUGGGAUCUCUGUGGGUCUCUAUGGGUCUCCAUGGGUCUCUGUGGUUCUCUAUGGGGCACUAUGGGAUUCUAUGGUUCUCUAUGUGUCUCUAUGGGUCUCUAUGGGUCGCUAUGGGUCCCUAUGGUUCUCUAUGGGAUCUCUGUGGGUCUCUAUGGGUCCCUAUGGGUCUCUAUGGCUCCCUAUGGGUCGCUAUGGGUCUCUAUGGGUCUCUAUGGUUCUCUAUGGGUCUCUAUGGGUCGCUGUGGGUCGCAGUGGGUCGCUGUGGGUCGCUGUGGGUCGCUAUGGGUCGCUGUGGGUCGCUGUGGGUCGCUAUGGGUCGCAGUGGGUCGCUAUGGGUCUCUAUGGGUCGCUAUGGGUCCCUAUGGGUCUCUUUGGGAUCUCUGUGGGUCUCUAUGGGUCGCUAUGGGUCUCUAUGGUUCCCUAUGGGUCGCUAUGGGUUGCUAUGGGUCUCUGUGGUUCUCUAUGGGUCCCUAUGGUUCUCUAUGGGAUCUCUGUGGGUCUCUGUGGGUCACUAUGGGUCUCUGUGGGUCUCUAUGGGUCUCUAUGGAAUCUCUAUGGGUCACUAUGGAUCUCUAUGGCUCCCUAUGGGUCGCUAUGGGUCACUGUGGGUCUCUAUGGUUCCCUAUGGGUCGCUAUGGGUCCCUAUAGGUCUCUAUGGGUCUCUGUGGUUCUCUAUGGGGCACUAUGGGUUUCCGUGGGUCUCUAUGGGUCUCUAUGGUUCUCUAUGGGUCUCAGUGGGUCUCAGUGGGUCUCAGUGGGUCUCAGUGGGUCGCAGUGGGUCGCAGUGGGUCGUGGUGGGGCCCGGCGCUGACGCGGCGCUGACGCGGUUUCCUGCAGGUCGCCAUUGCGGCGCCGCCGCCAUCGCCCCACG